CUUCACCGAACCCAACCACAACGGCCGAUCCCGGUCCUGGCCGUAGGUCGCCAGCAACGCCUGCGCCUC
rnacentral:antisense_RNA from 1 species